rnacentral:rRNA from 1 species
GCAAGUUCGAGGGGCAGCAUGAACUUAGCUUGCUAAGUUUGAUGGCGACCGGCGCACGGGUGAGUAACACGUAUCCAACCUUCCGUUUACUCAGGGAUAGCCUUUCGAAAGAAAGAUUAAUACCUGAUAGUAUGGUGAGAUUGCAUGAUAACACCAUUAAAGAUUUAUUGGUAAACGAUGGGGAUGCGUUCCAUUAGGUAGUANGCGGGGUAACGGCCCACCUAGCCUGCGAUGGAUAGGGGUUCUGAGAGGAAGGUCCCCCACAUUGGAACUGAGACACGGUCCAAACUCCUACGGGAGGCNGCAGUGAGGAAUAUUGGUCAAUGGGCGAGAGCCUGAACCAGGNNUGUAGCGUGAAGGAUGAANGUCCUACNGAUUGUAAACUUCUUUUAUACGGNAAUAAAGUUUCCUACNUGUAGNAUUUU